rnacentral:lncRNA from 8 species
AUGGAUAACAAAAACAACAGUUCAGAUAUUGACUGUCUAUCAACUGUUUUUGUGUGUGUGUGUGUGUGUGUGUGUGUGUGUGUGUGUGUGUGUGUGUGUGUGUGUGUGUGUGUGUGUGUCACCCUGACAGAAGCGUGGAAUGGCACGGAGCAUAUGCGUGUUGCCACGGCGAUGGGUGAGUCAUCAUCUGUCCAAUCUGAGAAGCUUCGCUCACUGGCUUGCUCGCUCUCUGAGAUGGGAUUGGAUAAUGGAAAUCCCCCGGGCAGCGCGAAGCAGCCUACCACGGAGCCCACCAUAGAACUUGGUAAAGGGACGUUCUUUGCAGACGGCCAGAGGAAGGUGGACUAUAUUCUGUGCUAUCAUUAUAAGAAAAGGAGGAACUCCCUGCAUCGUCUCUCCCUCACCUCUCAAGCAUCCAAUGGGAGCCUUCCGCUACCCAGCAUGCUGAGACGAGAUACGCAGCCUGAGCUGGAGGCAGGGCUGCCAGAGGGGGAGGAGUCUCACCUGAGUGAGGACGAGAAAGCUAUGAUGAGGGAGGAGUUUGAGUCUGGGCUGUUGGAGCAGGGCCUGCAGCUGGAGAGAGACAAGGAGGUAAUAUAUAAUAAUCUACCUCUGGACAAGGGGUUAGAGCUGUGUGUGUUAAGGUAUCUGUCCUUAACACAGUGACCAAAGAAGAGCCAGAAGUAUACAGAAUGUGUCACUAGUUUUACUAUUUUUUGCACAAAUGCUGAUCCAUUAUCUGAGCGGAUUUCUGUUGGUAUUCCAAACCUAGGUAUUUCUUCUCUGGUCAAAAAAUGUAUCGCUGUUCCUGCUCCCUGAUCUGCUGAUGGUAUUGCUUCUAUCCAUCUGCUAAAUCUGUCUAUGUUAACUAGCAUGUACCUCUUGCCACGUACUAGUUUUAUCAUAUCCACAUAGUCCAUUACAAUGUGUCAAAAUGGUCUGGGACCGGUAUGUGAACUAUAGGUAUAGUUAUCCCUUUUCGUAUGUUAUUUUGUGCACAUAUUUCACAUGUCAUGAAUGCCUCAUCUACUGUUGCCUGCAGCUAUGGUGACCAGUGUCCUUGUUUUUAAAUGUUCCUUAUUAUCCCCUCCCCCCAUGACCAUGGGCAUCAUUAACCUCUAUGUGCUAGGUGGGACGCUUGCGUCCCACCUACGUAACAGCCACUGGCAGCCUGUGGAACGAUUUUCAAAACCGUAAAAAUCCUAUUACUUCAAUUUCUCAAACAUAUGACUAUUUUACAGCUAUUUAACCUCUAUGGGCUAGGUGGGACGCUAGCGUCCCACCCGUGGUGCACUCCAUCAACAGCAGGUGCAUUUCAAGAGCGGCAAAUUUGAAUCCAAAUAAAUGUCAAAAUUCAAAUUUUUCAAACAUACAACUAUUUUACACCCUUUGAAAGAUAAACAUCUCCUUAAUCUAACCACGUUUUACGAUUUCAAAAAGGUUUUACGGCGAAAGCAUAAAUUUAGAGUAUGUUAGGACAGUACAUUUACAAGAGUUGUGUGUAAUGUUUUGUCAAUUCAAAGACAGGGUCACCAAAACCAUAAAACCAGCUAAAAUGAUGCACUAACCUUUUACAAUCUCCAUCAGAUGACACUCCUAGGACAUUAUGUUAGACAAUGCAUGCAUUUUUAGUUCUAUCAAGUUCAUAUUUAUAUCCAAAAACAGCGUUUUACUAUGGCAUUGAUGUUGAGGAAAUCGUUUCCCUCCAAUAACCGGCAGUCAAGUCAACACCACAAAUUAAAUAAUUAAAAUUAGAAAACAUUGGUAAAAUAUUAUAUUGUCAUUUAAAGAAUUAUAGAUUUACAUCUCUUGAACGCAAUCAACUUGCCAGAUUUAAAAAUAACCUUACUGGGAAAUCACACUUUGCAAUAAUCUGAGCACUGCGCCCAGAAAAAUACGCGUUGCGAUACAGACUAGACGUCAUGUUGGGGAGAUCUAAAAUCGAAAAUACUAUGUAAAUAAUCCAUUACCUUUGAUUCUCUUCAUCAGAUGUCACUUCCAGGUAUCACAGGUCCAUAACGAAGGUAGUUUUGUUCAAAAAAGCUCAUCAUUUAUGUCCAAAAAUCUCUGUCUUGUUAGCACAUGAUCUAAGCCAGCCGGACUUCUCGUCAUGAACGAGGGGAAAAAAUAUAUUUACGUUCGUUCAAACAUGUCAAACGUUGUAUAGCAUAAAUCAUUAGGGCCUUUUUUAACCAGAACAUGAAUAAUAUUCAAGGUGGACGAAUGCAUACUCUUUUAUAAUGUAUUGGAACGAGGGUACCCAACAUGAACUCGCGCGCCAGGUGUCUAAUGGGCCAUCAUCGUUCCAUGGCUCUUGUUCGGUCAGAUCUCCCUCCAGAAGACUCAAAACACUUUGUAAAGGCUGGUGACAUCUAGUGGAAGCAAUAGGAAGUGCCAAAAUAUUCCUCAGGCCCUGUGUUUUUCAAUGGGAUAGGUUUAAAGGUAAUACAACACAUCAGGUAUCCACUUCCUGUCAGAAAAUGUCUCAGGGUUUUGCCUGCCAAAUGAGUUCUGUUACACUCACAGACACCAUUCAAACAGUUUUAGAAACUUUAGAGUGUUUUCUAUCCAUAUAUAAUAAGUAUAUGCAUAUUCUAGUUACUGGGUAGGAUUAGUAACCAGAUUAAAUCGGGUACAUUUUUUUUAUCCAGCCGUGCAAAUACUGCCCCCUAGCCCUAACAGGUUAAAGACAAGACUCUCGUUAAUCUAACCACAC